rnacentral:rRNA from 1 species
GACGAACGCUGGCGGCGUGCCUAAUACAUGCAAGUUGAGCGCUGAAGGUUGGUACUUGUACCGACUGGAUGAGCAGCGAACGGGUGAGUAACGCGUGGGGAAUCUGCCUUUGAGCGGGGGACAACAUUUGGAAACGAAUGCUAAUACCGCAUAAAAACUUUAAACACAAGUUUUAAGUUUGAAAGAUGCAAUUGCAUCACUCAAAGAUGAUCCCGCGUUGUAUUAGCUAGUUGGUGAGGUAAAGGCUCACCAAGGCGAUGAUACAUAGCCGACCUGAGAGGGUGAUCGGCCACAUUGGGACUGAGACACGGCCCAAACUCCUACGGGAGGCAGCAGUAGGGAAUCUUCGGAAAGGGACGAAAGUCUGACCGAGCAACGCCGCGUGAGUGAAGAAGGUUUUCGGAUCGUAAAACUCUGUUGGUAGAGAAGAACGUUGGUGAGAGUGGAAAGCUCAUCAAGUGACGGUAACUACCCAGAAAGGGACGGCUAACUACGUG